rnacentral:misc_RNA from 1 species
GAUGAAGAACGUAGCGAAAUGCGAUAACUAAUGUGAAUUGCAGAAUUCCGUGAAUCAUCGAGUCUUUGAACGCACAUUGCGCCCCCUGGUAUUCCUGGGGGCAUGCCUGUCCGAGCGUCAUUGCUGCCCAUCAAGCACGGCUUGCGUGUUGGGUCCCGUCCCCCUCUCCCGGGGGACGGACCCGAAAGGCAGCGGCGGCACCGCGUCCGGUCCUCGAGCGUAUGGGGCUUUGUCACCCGCUCUUGUAGGCCCGGCCGGCGCUUGCCGACACCCAACCAUUUUUUUCAGGUUGACCUCGGAUCAGGUAGGGAUACCCGCUGAACUUAAGCAUAUCAAUAAGCGGAGGA